rnacentral:rRNA from 1 species
ACAAGCAGCCAUAUCACUCUACAACUCACUGAAGCCAAGUAGGUGUGAGCCUGGUCAGUACUUGGAUGGGAGACCUCCUGGAAAAAACUAAGGUUGCUGCUGGAA